GACGAACGCUGGCGGCGUGCUUAACACAUGCAAGUCGAACGGAAAGGCCCUGCUUUUGUUGGGUGCUCGAGUGGCGAACGGGUGAGUAACACGUGAGUAACCUGCCCUUGACUUUGGGAUAACUUCAGGAAACUGGGGCUAAUACCGGAUAUGAGCUCCUGCUGCAUGGUGGGGGUUGGAAAGUUUCGGCGGUUGGGGCUGGACUCGCGGCUUAUCAGCUUGUUGGUGGGGUAGUGGCUUACCAAGGCUUUGACGGGUAGCCGGCCUGAGAGGGUGACCGGCCACAUUGGGACUGAGAUACGGCCCAGACUCCUACGGGAGGCAGCAGUGGGGAAUAUUGCACAAUGGGCGGAAGCCUGAUGCAGCAACGCCGCGUGCGGGAUGACGGCCUUCGGGUUGUAAACCGCUUUCGCCUGUGACGAAGCGUGAGUGACGGUAAUGGGUAAAGAAGCACCGGCUAACUACGUG
rnacentral:rRNA from 1 species